UUAAAUUGAAGAGUUUGAUCAUGGCUCAGAUUGAACGCUGGCGGCAGGCCUAACACAUGCAAGUCGAGCGGUAGCACAGAGAGCUUGCUCUCGGGUGACGAGCGGCGGA
rnacentral:rRNA from 1 species